GAUGAACGCUAGCGGCAGGCCUAACACAUGCAAGUCGAGGGGUAGAGGGUGCUUGCAUGCUGACGACCGGCGCACGGGUGCGUAACGCGUAUGCAAUCUACCUUUUGCUAAGGGAUAGCCCAGAGAAAUUUGGAUUAAUACCUUAUAGUAUGAUGACUUGGCAUCAAGAUAUCAUUAAAGAUUACGGCAAAAGAUGAGCAUGCGUUCUAUUAGCUAGUUGGUGUGGUAACGGCAUACCAAGGCAACGAUAGAUAGGGGUCCUGAGAGGGAGAUCCCCCACACUGGUACUGAGACACGGACCAGACUCCUACGGGAGGCAGCAGUGAGGAAUAUUGGACAAUGGAGGCAACUCUGAUCCAGCCAUGCCGCGUGCAGGAAGACUGCCCUAUGGGUUGUAAACUGCUUUUAUACAGGAAGAAAUACCUCUACGUGUAGAGAUUUGACGGUACUGUAAGAAUAAGGAUCGGCUAACUCCGUGCCAGCCGCCGCAGUAAGAC
rnacentral:rRNA from 1 species